CACGUAGGAGGCGAGCGUUGUCCGGAAUCAUUGGGCGUAAAGAGCGCGCAGGCGGCUUGGCAAGUCGGGGUGUGAAAUCCCGGGGCUCAACCCCGUGACUGCAUUCGAUACUGUCAGGCUAGAGGUAGGUAGGGGAGAUCGGAAUUCCUGGUGUAGCGGUGAAAUGCGCAGAUAUCAGGAGGAACACCGGUGGCGAAGGCGGAUCUCUGGGCCUUACCUGACGCUCAGGCGCGAAAGCUAGGGGAGCGAACAGG
rnacentral:rRNA from 1 species